UAUGGUCAUAUCAUGUUGAAACACUUGCUCCUGUAUGAUCACCAAAGUUAAGCAACAUUGAGUCUAGUCAGUACCUAGUUCAGUGACUACUUGGGAAUACUAAAUGCUGUAAG